rnacentral:rRNA from 1 species
GAUGAACGCUGGCGGCGUGCCUAACACAUGCAAGUCGAACGGAGCUUGAGGGAAGAAGACUUCGGUCAACGGACCAAAAAGCUUAGUGGCGGAUGGGUGAGUAACACGUGAGCAACCUGCCUUGUACAGUGGAAUAACAACGGGAAACCGUUGCUAAUACCGCAUAACAUACCGAAGAGGCAGUCUUAUUGGUAUCAAAGGAGCAAUCCGGUACAAGAUGGGCUCGCGUCCGAUUAGAUAGUUGGAGAGGUAACGGCUCCCCAAGUCGACGGUCGGUAGCCGGACUGAGAGGUUGAACGGCCACAUUGGGACUGAGACACGGCCCAG